rnacentral:ncRNA from 1 species
UAACCCGUGCUGAAAGGCACAGCUGAACCGGCAGGAGUCAGCAGAGGGUAUAGUACCCUGGAGGUCAUGAACUUUAGGGGAAGGCC